rnacentral:tRNA from 1 species
ACCUAGCUGGCUCAGCCAGAAGAGCAUACGACUCUCGACCUCAGGGUUGUGAGUUCAAGCCCCACGCUGGGUG